UACAGAGGGUGCAAACGUUGCUCGGAAUUAUUGGGCGUAAAGCGCGCGUAGGCGGCUUGUUAAGUCGGUCGUGAAAGCCCACGGCUCAACCGUGGAAGUGCAACCGAAACUGGCAAGCUUGAGUUCUGAAGAGGAUGGCGGAAUUCCCAGUGUAGAGGUGAAAUUCGUAGAUAUUGGGAGGAACAUCGGUGGCGAAGGCGGCCAUCUGGGAAGUGACUGACGCUGAUGCGCGAAAGCGUGGGUAGCAAACAGG
rnacentral:rRNA from 1 species